CCGGGGCGGGGCGGGGCGGGGCGACGGCGUCGGAGGAGGCGGUAGCAGCGGCGGUGGCGGCGGUGCGCCCAAGGAGGCGCGCCUUCCUCGCCGUGGGCCCGACUUGGAGCUCCCACCCCCGGGCCUCACCGGCCGGGCACGAGGCUUCCCCACCGGAAGCACGAGGCCGAAUUCCAAGCUAUUGUCCUAUCUCGCCUGGUAUCGCGCGCUCCUGGCGGUAGCCUAAUCGCCACAGCCUCAGGCAAAAGGAAUUGGCCUGGGCCCGCAGGCAGAGGAACUAAUGCCUCAAGGAUACAAGCGGUUUUUUUGGAAAAGCCUGCAUACCCUGUAUCUAUCCAACCGGUACCUUACAGAUUUUUUUACUCUGUCUGCUUUAAACUAAGCCCCUAUCUUUCUGACCAACAUCAUCCUAACGAAAGGGAUGAUUAUUCAACAAAUAUUAAUCGAAUGACUAUUUUGUGUGCCAGACGCUGUGUCUAGGCUCUUGAGAUGGAGGCUUUAAGAGCACCUGGUUUUCUACCCUCCAGAGAUUUACUGUGAAGCGGAGAUAUAGACCAGUGAGUUACAAGAGAAAUCUCUUAAUGACUAUGUAAGUACAGGUUGCCUAGGGAUCUCUAAAGAGAAGUUCGACCUGGAGAUGUGUCCACAAGUAGUUUCCUCGAAUGGUAAAUUAUGCUGGAAGGUUGACAGCAAAGUAAGAAAAGGAAGGGAGACUUUUCAUAUUUCAAGUGAGACGACAGCUCUAAGGCUGAAAGCGGUAUUGUAGGAAUUUGAAGAAGUUUAUGAUGGCUGAAGAUUGUUCGCAAGAGGGGACAGUAGAGAAAUGAAACUGAGGAGGAAAUGCUGGAGGAUUUAGAGGCUUAUCCUAAAGAAAAACUUCUCAAAGAUUUCGUGCAUAGGAGUGGCAUGAUAUAAAUUAUGUUUUUUGAAAAUUAUUAUUUGGAGACAGAGACAUAGAACCCGCAAUCACUGGGUCACUUCCCCAGUACCAGAAGCAGCAGCAGAAGUCAGGAGCUGGCAAUUCCAUCCUGGUCUCCAAGGUGGGAGGCAGGAACCCGAUGGCUUGAGUCCUCAGUGCUGCAUUCCAGGGUCUGCAAUGGUGAGAAGCUGGAGUCAGGAGCAGGAGGAACUCAGGCGGAGAGACAGAGGGAGAGAGAGAGAGAGAGCACCUAUCCACUGAUUCAUUCCCCAGAUGCCCACAGUGGGUGGGACUGGCCAUGACCUGGCCGAAACUAAGAGCUGGGAAUUCAACACAGGUCUCCCAUGUGGAUGUCAGGAACCCACGUACUUGAGCCUUCACUGCUGCUUUGCAAAGUCUGCAUUAUCAGGAAACUGGAGUCACGAGCUGCAGGCAGGAACUGGAACCAGCAGGUUUUUGGCGAAGUCAUAAUUGUCAGGAAAGAACCAUGGACAGAGAACAUUUUUCUUGCUUCACUGCUUUCUUAAAUCAAAACUUUGCUAAGUAAUAGACUUUUCAACUAGUUCCAUGACCACCCAGAACAAACACUGCUCUUCCUGGCUUUUCUGCACAUAAGCAUAGGCAUAUAACUAAAUUAUGGCCAAUGAGAUAUAAGUGGAAUUGUCUUGUGGCAACUUCUAAGAACCUUCCUUAGAAGAUACUUGGGACAUACCAUUUGCCUUGUUCUUCAUCUAUUCUUGAAUGCUGCUGCUUUCUUGGACCCUGAGGAUCAGAGCUACAUCCUAAGAAUGGUGGAGCUGUGAGCCCAGAGCCUGUUCACUGGGAAUUUUGUGGAGAACCACUGUACCAGCUCUGGACUUGUUCGGUGCAUGUGAGAGAAAAUUAGAAAUAUACCUUUUUGUGCCACUGUUUUUUUUUCAUAUUUUAUCAUGUUUAUUGGAACUUAAUCCUAAAUGAUACACUGAGGCUUACUUGCUUAUCUCUUCUUUCAGUUGAAUAAACUGCUGCAUUAUCUCUUCUGCAAACUUUUUCAUUGCUUUUGUUAAGUUAGACGGAUUUUGUUUCUGAGACUGCUACAAAGGUUUGUACCAGUCAGAGAAAGGUUUAAAAUGUCAACAUCACGGCAGUACUCACAGUCAGAAAACUGAUUACUGAGGCCUAUAGUCCAGCAGUUCUCAACAGGUGACACACACCUUUGGGACAUUUUGGAAACUUAUAGACCCUUUUUAGCUUAUUAACAUAAUUGGAAGAUACUUCUAGAAGUUCUACGUUGUAUAAGACAUACCCGUACUUCAAAAACUUGGUCUGUAAAUUGAAUAAGACUUUCAAAUGUCUUAUUGGAUUUUCAUGUACAUAUAGAAUUUAUUAUCUGUGCCUAUACCCAACUCCAUUUUAUAUAAGGAUAUGUGUAGUUUUAUGUAUUUUUUUAAUUUAUGAAUUUUCUAGGAUUCUAACUAUUAAAUAAGCCAAAGAAAUUUUGUACAUUGGUUUCUGGGGAACUUUACGAAGAGUUGCUUACUGUUUUGGAAACUUAUGUCCUGGACAUCACCACUCAUGGUAUUGGAGUCUCCAAUUCAGUUUCAUGCUUUGUAUUUGUGGUUGUUACAUUCAUGGUGAUUCUGAGACUACCCCAAGAUGUAAGCUUCUGAGUGUCUGAGAGUUUACAUUCUGUGACAUAUAUUACUUUAUUAUAAGUGGGUUUUAUUAAUGCUUUUAAAAUAUAGUUAGAUCAUUACAUUGGUAUUAAAAUGUUUUGUAUAAAUUGUGUUACCUAUGAAUUCCAUUUCAGGAUUGUAAAGGAGACAUUUUAAAAUAGUAUUAUAAAAGGAGCUGCAGGCAUAGGCCUGAUAGGACUCUAGCCAGUUAAAAUAAGUCAAAUCUAUAAGGCUAAAAGAUGGGAAUAACAUCUGGGAGGUGCUAAGUAGGGAGGUAUGAGCUGAUCCUUCAGGUAAUCCCCUUGACAUGGCUCAGGGGCUUCUCUACAUAUCUCAUUAGCCAUCAACAUUGCCCUGCCUCUGACCUCCUAAAUCAUGGAUUACAUUUGUCUUCAUCUGAGGGAAUUCUUUUGUAACUGACCUCAUACACCAGCCACCUCUGUUCAGCUUCUAUCUCAUUACCCUUGUGAUACUGGAAAACAGUAUUUGUAGAUACAGAUACCAGAUAAAUCGAUUUAGGAAAAUGUAAAUCUGGUUCCACUUUUACUUCCUGUAGAGGAUAUUAUUAGCAUAUUUUCCAUAUGAAUAGGGGCUGUCAUAAGCCAUAUGCAGUUCACCAUAUAGCAUAUGCCUGUUUCAAGGCAUAUUUUAAUAUAGCACAAAGGCAAAGAGAUUCAACUUGAAAUGUUUCCUGUGUGUUUUGGUUUAGACUUUUUGGCUAUCAUGAAGCUUAAGUUAGUUUUCUGCAUAUAUGCCAUAGAAUGAGCUCUCAAUAAAUUAGCUAACAAAGUUAAACAAGCGGAGAAGAAUUUUGGGCAAAAUAAAUUAUUAGAAUUUCAACUCAGUCUAGGCAGAAUCUGACAGAUUUUGCAGUUGAAGCCAUUUUACUAGGUGGACAAAAAAAAAAAAAAAGAAAAAAAAAGAAAAGCUGGAAAUAGCAUGGCUGGCAAAGAAGUAGGAAGAUAUGGCAUCAAUAAUUAGACUCUGUAAAGCACAUCAUCCCAUAUAGCAGAUACCUUCAUGGGUUCAAGAAAUAUUGAUUGAGUCCCAUCUUACAUCAAGUACUAUGUUAGUUCCUAGGGAAACAAUGGUAAACAAAGAUAGAGACAAUUCCUGACCUCAAGGAAUUCACAAUCUAGUGUGGAAGAUGGACAAUAAUAAUAAUUUUAAAACCACUUAUCAUUAUAUAGUCACAGAUGGACUUGCAUACUGUUAAUGAAAGGAACCUCAAGUAAAGAACACUGACUGUACUGAAUUGCUUUAGCCCCUCCAUCCUAUUGUGCUCCAGGAGGUUGCCUCUGUGGCCUCCAGCGAGAGGCAACCUGCCUCUCUGUCCUCAGUCUGGGGGUUUGACCCAUGAGCGGUAUCAACAGCAGACUAAGAGGACAGGAGCAGAGUAAAAUGAGGCUAGUCUCUCCCCUUCUGUGCAAGGCUAUGGAUUGUCAUCUUCUCUUUGCUGCAAGCUGUAGCUAUUCUCUGCAUUCUAGGAGCUACCCAUCUCCUACUCCCUUAGGUGAAGAGUGAAAGGCCUUCCUGCUGUUGCUGGUUGCAGAUGCUUCAUUAUAGCUAGUUGACUUCCCUUAACUGUAACACACAUUUGUAAAUGGUUCCUUCAAUGAAUUCACUUUUUGUCCCUUCCUUUUCCUGCCAGUAGCCUGACACUAGCCUGGAAUAGAGGAGAGUGGGUUGCUAGUAAUGAAAAGAAUAUUACAGGAAGACAGGAAAGCUUGAUAAAAGAAAUGUCUGAAGGAAGGAACACUGUAGCUGGAGUGUGGAGAGGGUGGGAUGGGAUGAUGCCAGAGAAGGAGCAAGGGUGAAAUCAAGUUCUAGCAAAUAUUUUCCUUCUCCCUCUUCUUCUUUCUCUCUCUUUCUCUGCCUCUCUCCAUCUCUCCCCUCAGAAUUUGGAACCCCUUCUUGUGUUUGGGGAUUUUUUACUGGGAGGCCAGCUAGUCUAACAUUGCAGAAGUUAAGCUCUCAAACUGCUAGGUGUGGGCGCAUGGCCUGGCUUCAGCCUGUCAGGUGCAUCCACUCAAUUUUUUUGGAACAAGAUCCAGAAACAAAACAGUGAGGAAUUGUCUUCGUGCCUUGGCCAGACUUCCAGAGUAUUGGCAGUGCAGGCUGCAGCAUCCAUUUCCUGAGCUUGACCCAGCCUUCCCAUAGGCUUUCAUAUUUUUCUUCAUAAAUUCGGUUUCUUCUUCCUAGUGACAAUAUUCUUUUUUUUUUUUGACAGGCAGAGUGGACAGUGAGAGAGAGAGACAGAGAGAAAGGUCUCCCUUUUUGCCGUUGGUUCACCCUCCAUCAGUGGCCGCCGCGGCCGGCAUGCUGCGGCCGGCGCACCACGCUGAUCCGAUGGCAGGAGCCAGGUGCUUCUCCUGGUCUCCCAUGGGGUCUUUUUAGUACAUUUCUUUGCCUUUUUUUUUUUUUUAAUUUGAGGGUGACAAAGACAGAGAGUGAGCUCCCAUCUGCUGGUUCAUUCCACAAAGGCCUGCAGUGGCUAGGGCUGGGCCAGACUGAAGCCAGGUGCCAAGGUCUUAAUUCAAGUCUUCUAGGUGGGUGUCAUGGGUUCUACUUGAGUAAUUACCACUUAAGCCAUUAGUGGUAGCUCUCAGGCUCCAUCUUACCAGGAAGCUGGCAUCAGUAGUCAAAGCCCAGGUAUUGAACCCAGACAUCCCAGUAUAGGACAUGGCUUUCUGGACCAGUGGCUUAACCACUAAGCCAAAUGCCUUCCCCCAUUUCUUUGCUUCCUAAAUUUACUUUUAAAAUUAACAUCAUUGGGGCUGACAUUGUGACAUAGAGAGUAAAGCCACCCCCACAAUGCCGGUAUCCCAUAUGGUGCUGGUUUGCUCCACUUCCAAUCUGACUUCCUGUUAAUGGCCUGAGAAAGCAGCAGAAGAUGGCCCAAGUGUUUAGGCCCCUGCCACCCUUGUGAGAGACUCAGAUGAAACUCUUGGCUCCUGGCUUUGGCCUGUCCCAGUCCUGGCCAUCUGGGGAAUAAACCAGCAGAUGGAAGAUCUCUCUCUUUGUCAUUCCCUUUCUCUGUAUAACUCUGACUUUUAAAGUAAAUAAAUAAAUCUUUUUGAAAAUUAUAAUUUUUAUUAAUGGCUAAGAAAUCUGAUGAUUAAAUACACUGUUUUGACCAAGACCACUUUGCCUUAUAGCCUAUGCUAAGAACCUAUGUCAUAGAACUAAGGGAAACCAUUGAAGGCUUUUUAAAAAAAUUAUUGAUUUUUUAUUUGAAAGAGAGAGAGAUCUUCUAUCAACUAGUUCACUCCCCAAAUGGCCAUAAAGGCUGGAGAUGGACUGAUCCAAAUCCAAGAGCUGGGAGAUUUUUCUGGGUCUCCAACAUGUGUUCAGGGACCCAAGGAAUUGUCCUAUUUCUGCUGCUUUCCCAGGCACAUUAGCAAGGAGCUGGAUUGGAAGUGGAGCAGUCAGGACUUGAACUGGCACCCAUAUGGGAUGCUGGUGCCACAAGCUGGGGCUGAAGGCUUUAAGCAGCAAGAAUGAAGUGGUGGCAGUGACAAGACCAAGUCUGCAUUUUGAGGAAAUCUCUGACUGCAUUGGGUAGGAUCUAGAUUAAAUAUAGGGAGAUAAAAAAAUAGGUGAUGUUGACUUAGACUAGAAAUUGCAGGGGAGACAUAGAUAAGCUCAAGGAUUUAAGAGAUAUGUGGCAGGGCUGGCACAGUGGUGUAGCAGGUAAAGCUGCCGCCUGCAGUACCAGCAUCCCAUAUGGGCACCAGUUCGGUUUCCAACUGCUCCAUUUCUGAUCUAGGUCUCUGUUAUGACCUGGGAAAGCAGUGGAAGAUGGCCCAGGUCCUUGGGUCCCUGCAUCCAUGUGGAAUACCUGGAAUAGCUCCUGGCUCCUGGCAAUUUGGGAUUGGCCCAAAUCUGCCCAUUGUGGCCAUUUGGGGAGUGAACCAGUAGAUGGAAGAUUCCUCUCUCUCUCUCUCCCCCUCUGCCUCUCUGCCUUUCAAAUCAAUCAAUCAAUCAAUCAAUCUUUAAAAAAGAGAGAGCAAUGUGGCAAGUACAGUUGCUUUGAUUGGAAUGGGAGAAGGUUAAGGAAAAGAGGCAUAUCAAGGUUAACCCUCAGUUUUUUGCUUCCUUAAGAGGACAUUGAGUUCAUGAAGCCCAGAUACUUUUAAAUCCUUGAUUGCUACCAAUGACUUAAUGUCUGAUCAAAAUGAUUUUUCCAUUCUUCUAUGCUUUUAUAUACAUACAUAAACUUGUUGGAGUUGGAUGACAUUUUACACUUAUAUUUUCUUCAGAUACAGACUCUGAAUUCAAAAUGUGUUUCAGUGCUUGGCUGUGAGUGAGGAGGAGAAACACAGUUGGUUUCUGAGUCACACUGUGAAGUAGUAGUCAGUGCUGAGGAUUCAGCUGCAAUGCCUGAUUCAACACGACCUUGGGCUGGUGUGAGUAGGAGGAAAACCAUUUUUGAGAAGCCAGAAUUGUCCUGCCAUCUGUCAUUUUUAGGCUUUGCUUCUUACACAAAACUGGUGAAUAAAACUUUUAACAGGCAGUAGCUGGAAAGGGAUACAUAGCAUCUUCAUUCAUGAGAAAAGUCUAAAUUUUGUUUUCCAUUUAAGGACAUUAUUUAAAUAUUCUCUGGGCUAUGUUUAUGCAUCCUAAAUUGAAUUAUAUAAUGUUCACUGUCAUCAGUACUUCAAUCAGGACCUCACAUUGGGAAAUUGUGAAACUAGCAUUUGCUGCUAACUGUGAUUCACAACUUCCCCCAUGUGAAUCAAGCUAUAUUUAGGGUCUUUUCCAAACUGACUUAUUUAUGACUUUUCCCAACAAAAGUUGUAAAAUUUCCAUUAAUUUCGCGUUUACUUUUUAUUAUUCUGCCAAAUACAUUUCUGUAUACAUACCAUACAUCCUUAUACACACCAUGCAUUUAAUUAACUCCCACUAAUCGUAGGUGUUGCUGACUCCAUUUUACACAUAAAGGAAUUAGAAGUCUUAAUACUGUUCAAUGUUUUAAAAUUUAUUUAUUUAUAUUGACUUAUUUGAAAGGCAAGAGUCUCUCUCUCUCUCUCUCUCUCUCUCUCUCACACACACACACACACACACACAGCCCUUCCUUCCUCUGGUUCACUCCCUAAAAGCCCACAAUAGUUGGGACUGAGUCAUGUCAUAAGCAGGAGCUCAGAACUCCCUCCAGGUCUCCCACAUGGGUGUCAAGGACUCAAAACUUGAGUCCUUACUUGCUGAUUCCCAGGGUGUGCACUGUCAGGAAACGGGAUUGGAAAUAAAGGCAGGACUUAAACUCAGGCACUCCAAUAUGGGAUGCUGGUGUCCCAAGUGGAGUCUAAAAUGCUGCAGCAAACACUGUCCCUAGAAAUACUAUUUUGAACCUAGAUGUAUGUUGUUAGGCCUAUGCCAAAUCACUAUGCCAUAAAACCAUCUGACUUACUGUUUCCUCUCAUUUAUUCAGUGUUCCCUGAAGUGAUGUCAAUAUGAAAUGUAUUAUAAUUAUUUUGAAAUUGAAGACAUCUAAUAGAUACAAAAGCACAGAUAAGUAAAUUAAUGGAUAACAUGAGGAAUUAAAUAGUUAAAAGAAUGUAAGUGGUGGGCAUUGUGGCAUAGCAAGUUAAGCUGUUGCUUGAAAUUCCUACAUCCUGGGGCUGGUGCUGUGGCAUAGAGGGUAAAGCUACCACCUGCAGUGCUGGCAUCUCGUAUGGGCACUGGUUGGAGUCCCAGCUGCUCCACUUCUGAUCCAGCUCUCUGCUGUGGCCUGGGAAAGCAGUAGAAGAUGACCCAAGUUCUUGGGUCCCUGCAUCUACGUGGGAGGCCCAGAAGAAGUACCUAGCCCCUGGCUUUGAAUUGGCUCAGCUCUGGCUGUUGCGGCUAAUUGGGGAGUGAACCAGAAGAUGGAAGA